GUAAGAGGGGAGUUGACGUGGCACUAGUUGAUUGGUUGGGCGUAAGAGAGGGGACUCACCUCUUAGGUGAGUGCCCCUUACACCCUUAGAAAUUAAUGCUUUUCAUGAACCUAGAAGUUGUAGAGGUGGAAAUGAGAAAACUGUUGGAAGUCAAAGACCAACCCUUUUGGCAUUCUUCCAAUACUAAGGUAACAUUGAAAUUCUAUUCAUUUAUCCUAUCCUCAACUUAUGAGCUCACAAAUGUGUUUGGAAUUGCUUAUUAUAACUAUCUGAUUGGUCUAUAUAGUCUCAAAGGCUAUAGAAAACCACUAUUUUAGUGUUUGCAUCUUGAAUAAUGUCCUAGUUGUUUGCACAUUGAAAGGUGUUUAUUUUUUAACAUGUAACUGUUACUAUCAUUGUUAAAAUAGAGUUAACACGAGGAUCAUUUUACUCACACGAUGAUUGUGGAAGAGGUUCACGAACGAAGUUUUGAAUAUUUAUUUCAAACGUUUGUUAGUUUUGUGCUAUAUUUUGACACUUAUUAGAUUUUGACCUUUUUGGCGGGGGUUCCAUCUAGUUUAUUCUAAUUAACAAUUUACAAUGCUCGUUGUAGAUACCAUUGAUCCCGUGGUGAAUCUUUGACACUUUGGAGCUUUAGACAUAUACUAAGUGGACAUUGGACUUUGUUCAUUAUUGCCGCAAAAGUACGACGGGCAUAUAUUUUAGAUUCACUAUUCAAAGAGGGCAACAAGAAUCCUAGCCACUAUCGUCUUACAAGUGUGAUUGAAAGCGCUUUGCUGCCAAUAAAACCCACAUUUGAUAUGGUUAAUUGCAAUCAACAAGCUAAGACCUGGGAAUGCGGCUAUACACUUCUUCAAUCUAUGUUCGACUUUGUCAAAAUGUAUCAAAAACAAUUUCCCAAAAUGUAGAACGACACGAAAGAGGUUGCAAAUGAAGAUAUAGAAAAGAUGUUGAAGGAAUUGAUGCCAAUUUUAUUUGACGGGUUGGGUAUUCUUUAGUUUAAAUAUAGUUUGUUUAUGGUUUCAAAUAGAUUAAGUAGUGAAUUGUUAUUUUACCAAUUAAUAUUGUAGACUUUGAGGUUAAAUGUGUAUUGGUUCACUUUUUUACUUGUCCGGAUUUGACUACGUUGAAUAUAUAAAAGGAUUGAUUGGAUUUGACGUCUAUGUUGGAGUGCAGAUUAUUUUUUUACUGCAUAUUAUGUCAUUUUUUCAUAUCUCUUUUUUAUUACAGAUUUUUGUUUGAAAUUUGACAGCAUAAUUUGUCGUACUUACAGCAUUGGUCAUAAGUCGCGGUUCAUCCAACACCGACUAAAACCUUUCCUAAAAUUGUAAAACGACUUUAAGUCGGGGUUCAUCCAACACUGACUAAAAACUUUUCCUAAAAUUGUAAAACGAUUUUAAGUCGCGGUUCAUAAUGCUGACUAAAAAUAUUUCGAUAAAAGUAUCAACAUCUUUUUAGUCGCGGUGGUUUAUUUUAAGACAGGGUUUAGCAAACCGCGUCUUAUAAAAAACACAUUUUUAGCCACGGCAUUUUAAGUCGCGGUUUGAAACCGCGACUAAAAACUAUUUUAACCGCGUCUAAUGCUCACUUCUGUACUAGUGAAAUAAACCGGACCAGCCAAGUCAAAAUCCUCCAACGCAUGUAGGUCCGGAUGUGUGAAGUCUGCAAUUGGACUAGCUAGGCAAGUGGACGGAGCAUUGUAGAUGCUCUUAGAGCACCCGGGGCGCCACGUGAUGGCCAAAAGUCCACGAGUUAUGGGCAGUGAAACACCGCCCCCACUACCUUGCAUCACGCGUGGUGGAGUUGACGCGUUGUCGUCUUCACGCGUGAAUGAUUUGUUGUUUUGUUGUUUUGUGAAUGAUUUUGAUGAUGGAGAUGAGUGUGUGGUGAGUGAUGGACAUUUCCACUAAAAUCAAUCACUAGUGAUGGAAUAAAGCUCGAUGACGUGACGAAACUUAAUUAGAUGUUGUGAGUGAUGGAACUCCAUCACUAGUGGAUCGCCCCUACCCUUACAGUGGAAUUUAACAGACUUGCUAACUAUUGAUGGUUGAAAUUCAACAUCUUUGACUUUCUGGGUCAAACUAUAGCUUUUAAUCUAAUUUCACUGCAAGCUAAUUCAUAAUGACACAACAAUCUGUCCUUGUACAUUAGUUGUUUACAAUAUCUUAAAGUCAAAUCAAAUUCAGUAAAAAUCAAACUAUAGAUGGUCAGAAUCCAGUCAAAAAGUCAACCAUUACACCAUUUAUCACAUACAGAAUGAACCCUUACAAGAUAUAUCAGAUUGCAAGAUUAUUACCU